CUGGUGUCCUUGCAUUCUGGGUAUGUUACACAAGGGUGUGGUAACUCUAUCCUCCCGGAGACCCAUCCUCACCCUCCUCCCCACCAAAUUACUGCACAGGCAUCAACAAAAGGCAUCUUACGUUACUGCCUGAAGAUCGGCCGCGACACGCAGUGACAUGAGAGAGCACUCUGGAAAAAAACAGCAAUUAACAUAAUGUAAUCCAUUAUGC